CUUUGCUGGCCUAUGUGCUAAGUCAUUGGCGCCCAGAAAUAACCUCCUGGAGACUACAGGCCUUGUGUUUACCACAAAGCAGUGGGUCUGUGUUGUUUGGGGUUUGGUUCAUUGGAUGUUUUUCUUGGAAUGCGUUGCCAUUGGCUUCAGGAUGUUCCUGCUCUGCUAUUUCAUGGAAUUUUCCCCGAGUGUGGAUUGCUAUGUAUUUCUUCGGGGCAGCGAGCCAACACAGUGCUGGUCAAUCACUCUACGUGGCCUCUUACUAGCAAUGUUAGCAGUGGAUUUUGUAUGCCUAGGGGCCAUGAUGAACAAAACAACAUGAAAAAGAAUGAUAUGUCCCAAAUAGGAAUUCUUUCUGCAGCCUGAGUCCUACAAUGAGAAAGACUCACAGAUCGGAGCCACGUCCUACCUACAGCCAACUUGAAACAUGCAUGAGAAAUAAAC